rnacentral:rRNA from 1 species
UCAGGCCUAACACAUGCAAGUCGAGCGAGAAACCGCCUUCGGGUGGCGGACAGCGGCGGACGGGUGAGUAAUGCGCGGGAAUAUGCCCUUUGGUACGGAAUAGCCCCUGGAAACGGGGAGUAAUACCGUAUGUGCCCUACGGGGGAAAGAUUUAUCGCCAAAGGAUUAGCCCAUGUUGGAUUAGCUAGUUGGUGAGGUAAAGGCUCACCAAGGCAACGAUCUAUAGCUGGUUUGAGAGGAUGAUCAGCCACACUGGGACUGAGACACGGCCCAGACUCCUACGGGAGGCAGCAGUGGGGAAUAUUAGACAAUGGGCGAAAGCCUGAUCUAGCCAUGCCGCGUGAGUGAAGAAGGCCCUAGGGUUGUAAAGCUCUUUCAGAUGUGAGGAUGAUGACAGUAACAUCAGAAGAAGCCCCGGCUAACUUCGUGCCAGCAGCCGCGGUAAUACGAAGGGGGCUAGCGUUGUUCGGAAUUACUGGGCGUAAAGGGCGCGUAGGCGGACUGGUCAGUUUGGUGUGAAAGCCCGGGGCUCAACCUCGGAACUGCACUGAAUACUGCCUGUCUAGAAUCCCGGAGGGGAGUGUGGAAUUUCUAGUGUAGAGGUGAAAUUCGUAGAUAUUAGAAAGAACACCGGUGGCGAAGGCGACACUCUGGACGGGUAUUGACGCUGAGGCGCGAAAGCGUGGGAGCAAACAGGAUU